rnacentral:rRNA from 1 species
AGUGAACGCUGGCGGUAGGCCUAACACAUGCAAGUCGAACGGCAGCACAGUAAGAGCUUGCUCUUACGGGUGGCGAGUGGCGGACGGGUGAGGAAUACAUCGGAAUCUACUUUUUCGUGGGGGAUAACGUAGGGAAACUUACGCUAAUACUGCAUACGACCUACGGGUGAAAGCAGGGGAUCUUCGGACCUUGCGCGAUUGAAUGAGCCGAUGUCGGAUUAGCUAGUUGGCGGGGUAAAGGCCCACCAAGGCGACGAUCCGUAGCUGGUCUGAGAGGAUGAUCAGCCACACUGGAACUGAGACACGGUCCAGACUCCUACGGGAGGCAGCAGUGGGGAAUAUUGGACAAUGGGCGCAAGCCUGAUCCAGCCAUACCGCGUGGGUGAAGAGGGCCUUCGGGUUGUAAAGCCCUUUUGUUGGGAAAGAAAAGCAGCAGGUUAAUACCCCGCUGUUCUGACGGUACCCAAAGAAUAAGCACCGGCUAACUUCGUG